AGAGUUUGAUCCUGGCUCAGGAUAAACGCUGGCGGCGUGCCUAAUACAUGCAAGUCGAUCGGAGAGUUUCAAGCUUGCUUGAGACUUUCAGAGGCGAACGGGUGAGUAAUACAUAAGCAACCUGCCCACGAAGACCGGGAUAACAUCUGGAAACGGGUACUAAAACCGGAUAGGUAAUAGAACCGCAUGGUUCGAUUAUUAAAGGAGAGAAACACUGGUGGAUGGGCUUAUGGCGCAUUAGUUAGUUGGUGAGGUAACGGCCCACCAAGACGAUGAUGCGUAGCCGGACUGAGAGGUUGAACGGCCACAUUGGGACUGAGAGACGGCCCAGACUCCUACGGGAGGCAGCAGUAGGGAAUUUUCGGCAAUGGGCGGAAGCCUGACCGAGCAACGCCGCGUGAGUGAUGAAGUUUUUCGGAAUGUAAAGCUCUGUUGCGCGGGACGAAUGGAGAGGGAGGACCCUCUUGUGACGGUACCGCGCGAGGAAGCCACGGCUAACUACGUGCCAGCAGCCGCGGUAAUACGUAGGUGGCGAGCGUUAUCCGGAAUUAUUGGGCGUAAAGGGUGCGCAGGCGGCCUUUUAAGUUCAAGGUGAAAGCGUGGGGCUCAACCCCAUAAAGCCUUGGAUACUGGGAGGCUGGAGUACUGGAGAGGACAGCGGAAUUCCAUGUGUAGCGGUAAAAUGCGUAGAUAUAUGGAGGAACACCGGAGGCGAAGGCGGCUGUCUGGACAGUAACUGACGCUGAGGCACGAAAGCGUGGGGAGCAAAUAGGAUUAGAUACCCUAGUAGUCCACGCUGUAAACGAUGAAUACUAAGUGUUGGGGAGACCCAGUGCUGCAACAAACGCAAUAAGUAUUCCGCCUGUGGAGUAUGCACGCAAGUGUGAAACAUAAAGGAAUUGACGGGGGCCCGCACAAGCGGUGGAGUAUGUGGUUUAAUUCGACGCAACGCGA
rnacentral:rRNA from 1 species